UGGACCAAUUAGAGCUUUUAAACUCAU
rnacentral:piRNA from 1 species